rnacentral:rRNA from 1 species
AUUGAACGCUGGCGGCAGGCCUAACACAUGCAAGUCGAGCGAGCGGCGGACGGGUGAGUAAUGUAUGGGGACUGCCCGAUAUAGGGGGAUAACUACUGGAAACGGUAGCUAAUACCGCAUACUAUCGGAUAACCCAUAUGGGAUUAGCUAGUAGGUGAGGUAAUGGCUCACCGAGGCGACGAGCCCUAGCUGGUCUGAGAGGAUGAUCAGCAAGACUAGGCCUGGGACACGGCCCGGGCUCCUAGGGGGGCAGGAGUGGGGAUUAUGACACAAUGGUGGGGAGCAUGAUGCAGCAAUGCCACGUGUGUGAAGAAGUCCUAGGGUUGUAAAGUACUUUCAGUCGGGAGGCGUUACCGAAAGAAGACGCACCGGCUAACUCCGUGCCAGCAGCCGCGGUAAUAC